CUGCUGCCUCCCGUAGGAGUCUGGGCCGUGUCUCAGUCCCAGUGUGGCCGUCCACCCUCUCAGGCCGGCUGCUGAUCGCNUUCGUGGGCGGUCCCGUCCCAC
rnacentral:rRNA from 1 species